rnacentral:tRNA from 1 species
UCCCUGGAGGACUCGUGGUUAGGCCACAGCGCUCUCACUGCUGUGGCCUGGGUUCGAUUCCCGGCCAGGGAA